rnacentral:lncRNA from 1 species
GAGAGAAAAGCAAAAUUACCAGCUCAAAUUAAGAUCAAACAGUAAUUUAAUAUGUGCAAUGAUCAAAUAGCAAUAAAACCUGAAAUCUGCACAUGUAGAAAUCAUCCCCAUACGCAGCUCGAAACGCCUCAACGAAUUUCAUCUCAGGGUUUCUGGGGAAAAACGGCACGCUCAAGUUCACCAAAGCUUUUACUCUAUCUGGUCUAAACAAGCAAAGGUACCAAGCGAUGAGGGCACCCCAAUCAUGGCCCACUACAAAAACUUUCUCCUGCUGUGGUGCCACGGCGUCGAGGAGCCUGAUUAAAUCGCCAACGAUGUGGAAGCAAGUGUAGCUCUGCGGAUCAGCCGGCGCAUCGGUAUCACCGUAGCCUCUCAAAUCGGGUGCCACUGCUCGGUAGCCUUGAGAAGCCAGAGCAAGGAUCUGGUGGCGCCAGGAGAACCAUAGCUCCGGGAAUCCAUGGAUGAAGAGAAUGAAAGGGCCCUGAACUGGGCCCAGCUCCGCCACAUGCAUGUUAAUCCAUUGACAUUAACGGUCUUGUGCUCUAUGGCCUCCAUUUUUUUUACUCUUUUGGUUUUAGUCUGUGGUUUCUUCUACCGCUAAGACACUUAUAUUUCAUAUCCUACACGAAGGGAGAGAUUUUUUUUGUCAUUGUUGUCCAACUGCCAUUACGAUAAUGUUAGUAAGAAGAUGACGCUUGGCUUUGCUUGGACUGUAUGAAGGAAAAGUUUGAUACGGAAAAGCUUUCCCAUACCCGAUUUAUGUCCGAUUUAAAUAUUAGAUUAAUAAAAUUCAGCAUUUAAAAAAUAAAUAACUCUGAACACCUUUUAGAAAAUACUGAAUUCUAUUUAUUUUGAUACAUAAGUGCGGUCAUUUAUCAGAUCUAAAUAAAUUUUUUCGGUUUGGUAUUUAGCUGAAAGGUAAAGUAAAUAAAGAUUUGAUAAUUUUUAUUAUUUAUUUUGGUAGUACUAAAAGAAAAAAUCAAAUAUUAACAUUAUAAAAAUAUCCACCUCAUAAAGCAUAUUAUUUUAAAUAUGCAAAUUGGUUGGAUUUAUUUUUAAAUAAAAAUUAAUUUAUAAACAUUAAUUUUCUCUAAAGUACAUUUUAAAAGAUAUUAAAAUAAAAAUAUUAUAGUUAUCAAAGUUUAUUUAAAUCCUAAUAAUUAUUAUUAUAUUUUUCUUUUUAAAAAGUAAUAAGUAUUUCAAGAUAGCAUAUAUGAUAUAGGAAAUGAGUAAUUUUUAAUACUCCCUAAUCCCCAAUUAGAAGGAUUGAAAAGGAAGAAUUAUGUUUUUUUAUAUACAUGAGUCACCAAUGAAUAUAUGAGUUAUUUGAUAGAAAGAAAAUUUGAAUUUAAAAGACCAAUUCAAUCACACAUAAUUGAUAAUGAUUUAUGACAAUUUAAUAAUAAAUGAUAUUUAUUUAUUUUCGGAUCAUUUGGAAAACUUAUUUAUUCUUGAAAACAAAUUUUCUUUAAAAGAAAGGUACAACCACCACCAUAGAAGAGUCAUAAGAUAGCUCGCUUUCACACAUCAAAACUUAUUAAAGAAAGCAUAAAUGUGCUGUAUUGCUAUUUGUCAUAUUAUAUGAAAUUUCCUUACGUUUUAACGAUCAGAAAAUAUAUUAAGCAAAUGCUCAAAUCAUUAUGAAACCUUCUUUAUUCCUCAAAACAUUUUUUUUUAAAUAGAAAAAAAGGGACACAAAAGCACAACCACUACCAUACAGAAGGGCAUGAAAUAGCUCUCUUUCACAAAUCAGAACUUCUUCGAGAAAUCAUAAAUGUGCUUAUUAAUUUCAUCAGGCCUCUCUUGAUUCAGAAAGUGAGCUACUCUUUCCAUUACAACCACUUCUUCUAGAAGAGGAACAUCUCUCUUGAACCCUCCUUUCUCUAUAUAAUCCUCUGUACCUAUAAAUCCAUAGGCAAGGUCUUGAUUCCCCACUAUGAACUUAGUCGGUACUUUGACUUGAGCCCCAGUCCACGGUGCUGUGAGUUCCCAGUUUCUGCAUAAUUUUAACCAAAACAACGAGAAUCAAUUUUUGAAGUAACUUAAAUAUUAAAUUUGAUAAUUUAGAAGUAUAAUUAAUUAAUAUACUUCCAAAUUCCGGUAAUAGUUUACACCACCAGUAAAGCCUGUUUUUUCAAAUUUUGUGGUUUAGUAGUGAACUUCUUCCUCAGAUAGCCAAGAGGGAAGCUGAACUGAACUUCCUGCUGGUCGGCUAAAAACUUUUCCUUUUGGAAAAAUGGAAGGGCCUGGAUUACGAUAUGUCAGGAAUUGCUUCAUAACUCUCUCUAUGCCAAGCUCCGCAAACUCGGCUUCUAUGACUCCGUGCUCCUACAAGAGAAAACAGAAAUACCAGGCACCAGCUCGACUUCAGAGUUCAAAUUCUGUAAUUUAGUAUAAGAGAAACGUAGUAAUUUAAUCUGUGUAAUGAUUCAAUAGUACUAAAACCUGAAAUCUCCGCAUGUAAAAAUCAUUUCCAUACGCAGCUCGAAAGUUGUCCAUAUCUUUCAUCUAGGGGUUUCUAGGCCAAAACGGCACGCUCAGGUUCACCAAAGCUUUUACUCUAUCUGGUCGAAACAAGCAAAGGUACCAAGCCAUGAUGGCACCCCAGACAUGGCCCACUACGAAAACCUUCUCCUCUUGAGGUGCCACGGCAUCGAUGAGCUCGAUGAUAUCGCUGACGAUGUGAAGGCAAGCGUAGCUCUGCGGAUCAGCCGGCGCAUCGGUAUCACCGUAGCCUCUCAUGUCCGGAGCCACUGCUCGAUAACCUAGAGAAGCCAGAGCGACGAUCUGGUGGCGCCAGGAGUACCAUAGCUCAGGGAAUCUAUGGAGGAAGAGAAUGACGGGGCCUUCCACUGGGUCCAUCUCCGCCACAUGCAUAUCAAUGCCAUUGACAUUCACGGUCUUUUGAUUCUUUUGGGUUGUGCUUUCUACUGCUAGGGAACUUGGAUUUCAUGUAUACUCGUUCUUGGUUUAGAUAUAUAAAUAUAGCUACGUAAGUGGCGAUAAGUUGGCAGUGGCAUUAUUACUGCCAAAUGCCCAUUUCUGUGACAGACACUGGAAUAUUAUAUUUGAAUUGAAUUAGUGACAACAUUGUUCGCGAACGAACGUUUAAUGUAAGCUCAGGAGGUAGAGUCUGAACUCUGAAGCAUCACCACACCUGUAUUUUUUUGGAGCAUUUGAAACGUGCAGCUUAAUAUUAUUGGACUUUGUGUUACGUGACAGUCUAAGCAGAGGCACACGAAUAUAAGAAAAGAAUAAGAGUUUGACUGUUGUCUUCGUGAGCUGAGUUAUUCGGGAUGAUAAAAUUAAAGUUAUAUUUAAACUCUAAACAUGUAUUACAUAUAAAGCAAACUUACCCUCUUUAUUCCAUAACUCAAAUCAUUAGGAAACUUUCUUUAUUCCACAAAACAUUUGAAAAAGAAAAAGAGAAGAUAAGAACAAACCAUAAAGAGGCAUGAGAUAACUCUCUUUCACAAAUCAGAACUUCUUAAAGAAAUCAUAAAUAUGGUUAUUAAUUUCAUCAGGCCUCUCUUGAUUCAGAAAAUGAGCUACUCCUUCCAUUACAACCACUUCUUCCAAAAGAGGAACAUCUCUCUUGAACCCUCCUUUCUCUAUGUAGUCCUUCAUACCCACAAAUCUAUAGACAAGGUCUUCAUCUCCCACUAUGAACUUACUCGGUACUUUCACUUGAGCCUCAGUCCAUGGUGCUGUGAGUUCCCAGUUUCUGCAUAAUUUUAACCAAAACAAUAAAACUCGAUUCUUGAUUGCAGAUAUCGAUCAAUUAAAGUAACUUAAAUAUUAGAUUUGAUAAUUUAUAUAUAUAUAUAUAUAUAAGAAAACCUCACCGGUCGAUAUUCCGGUAAUAGUUCACACCACCAGUCAAGCCUGUCUUGUCAAAUUUGGUGGUGUAGUAGUGAACUUCUUCCUCAGACAGCCAAGAGGGCAGAAUAAUUGGAUCUCCUGCUGGUUGGCUAAAAACUUUUCCCUUUGGAAAAAUGAAAGGACCUGGAUUACGGUAAGUCAGGAAUUCCUUCAUAACUCUCUCUGUACCAAGUUCAGCAAACUCCGCUUCUAUGUCUCCAUACUCCUACGAGAGAAAAGCAAAAUUACCAGCUCAAAUUAAGAUCAAACAGUAAUUUAAUAUGUGCAAUGAUCAAAUAGCAAUAAAACCUGAAAUCUGCACAUGUAGAAAUCAUCCCCAUACGCGGCUCGAAACGCGUCAACGAAUUUCAUCUCAGGGUUUCUGCGGAAAAACGGCACGCUCAAGUUCACCAAAGCUUUUACUCUAUCGGGUCUAAACAAGCAAAGGUCCCAAGCGAUGGGGGCACCCCAAUCAUGGCCCACUCCAAAAACUUUCUCCUGCUGUGGUGCCACGGCGUCGAGGAGCCCGAUUAAAUCGCCAACGAUGUGGAAGCAAGGGUAGCUCUGCGGAUCAGCCGGCGCAUCGGUAU